GUGACACAUAUACACAGAAGAUUCUGACCAGUCCUCAGAAAUUAUUUAGAAGCAUUAAUUUUUUAAUUUUCGCCAUGUAAUUUUUAAACAAAAUUGUUUCCUGUGUCUGUAUGAAACAAUACCUUAGGCUAGCAAAUACAAAUGACAUACAAGCUUUUAUUUUAUGGUGUGAUUUUUUUUCUGUUAAUAAUUAUCUUUUAUAAAAAAAAUUUUUGUGUUAUGAAUUUUUGCAGAAAAGAAGCAAAUAUUGAUGUUUAAUUGAUUUGCAAUAAAAACCUUUGUCCAGCAGUUACAUGUAUGCAAUGAUCACAUGAUGUACUGCCCAUUGAGUUAUUCGGUUAUUUUACAAAGGGCUUUGAGUUCUGGUUGUACAUGUAUUUGUAUUGAUAGCAAUCAUUCCAAACAGACUGUCUAGCCAAAUAUAGGCUCUGUGGUGCAUGACGUCUAUACACAAUCAUUAUUAUUGUUAUUUUGAAUAUUUUCUUAUACCUUUGUUAUUAAAUUUUCUCUCUUUUAUGGUUGAUUUUAGAAAUCAAUAAAUUUGACUCA
rnacentral:misc_RNA from 1 species